rnacentral:lncRNA from 1 species
AAGGAAACUCAUAAAUGACGUUUUCAAGUUAUUACGUAGAGAAAGGAAUUUUAUGAUGAAAGAUUACCUAAUCAUGAAUGGAAAGUGAUGCUUGUUAUGUUGGAUUGAGAUUCGUUUACCACAUUGUCCAAAUGCUGGUCUCUUGCUAGAGCUCCACCUUGAGAACAUUUCCUUCCCCUUCUGCCGCAAUUUGUCUGUAGAAAAACAAAAAUCCAUAUACAAUGGUAAACUCUCCUCGGGCAUGGUUGCCUACACAAGUUGCUUUGACCUCCAAACAUGGGAAAGUUUCUCAAGUCUGCAAGUACACAUCCAACAUUUCAAGUCUCAUCAAAUAGAACUUUGUAGCUGAAUGAAUGAUUUGUGGGACGGAAAAAUAAAA